rnacentral:lncRNA from 1 species
GUGUACGUAGUGUGCACAAUUAACAGAAAUAUUAGGGUCUAUUGUUACAAAAAUAAUAGUAAAAGUUCAAGCAGAAUCCAAAGUGAACCUAGUUUCUAUGAUUCAAUGAUUUGGGGAAGUCUGCAACUCUGCAUCUUUUAGAGUAAUAACACAGAUGCCAUGGAUAUGCUUGAUCAUUCUAAAAGGUUUGGAAACAUUUCAUGCAGCCAUAUAGAUACAACAUUCUCAUUUAUAAAUCAGGGAUGACUGUUUAAUCUUCAAAAGGCAAUAACUAGCUAAUGCAGCCAACUAAAAGUCCAAAAGGAUCAUACUUUAGCUAAUACUUAAACUAAAAUUCACAUAACAAGACAUAUAUUCUGAAACCAAUCGAGAGCAAGGAAAAAUAAUUGCCUGGAAACAAAACCAAACUAGUCUCAAAUUUUCUGUCUAUUUCUGGGUUUGUUGGAAUUAUCCCAGGUGGUAACUCCACGGGUGUCGUUUAUCAUAACUAGUUCAACAAGGACUAUUCCAUUAACAGCUAAACUUGAUCGAAACGAAGCCUGAAUGUGAUUAAUGAACAAAGUAAUGCCUAAACUACUGACAAUCAACGAUGGCAGACUCCAAAUGCAGAGACAUGAACUAAAAAGCUGAUUAGAACUUUGCUCACCUCAGGAAGUUGAGCAUUGUCUUUGCCAUAUCUCACUUCUGAAAAUGCUACGAAUGACAUGAGGCCACGACACCCACCAUAUCACCUAUUUCCAACUGACUCCCUCUUCUGUUGCUCAAUCAUUGCAUCCACAUGGGUCGAGCCCAACUACGCAUCAUGGGCCUAGCCCAGUUAAGUUCGGUUAAACAAAAGAGCGGAUGUAUGACGUCAGACAAGAACCCAGAAAAAAUGGGGUGUGGUUGGAAAGCGUGCCUGAUCCGUCAUCUCAUCUCUGGUAAUUAAUCUUAGUUAUAGUUCGCGCUUGAUUUAUACACGCCAUUAAAUUCCCCCAUUACUUUUGUAUCGCUCCGCCGAACCAACCAACCGACCAGUCAUAAUAAAACGACGUAGCUUUUGCUGUUGUGUCGAAGAAGAAGAAGAGAUGGGGAGCAACGAUGAGCUCAAGUCGGACGCUUUCCUGGAGCAGAUGAAACAGCACCUCACCACCGACGCCGGUAAAGCCAUCGUCAAGAAGACCGGCCUCGUUUACCAGAUGAACAUCGCACCCAAGGUAAAACUCUAUCAACCAAUCAGGGCUCUUGAACCGCAUGCGUUUUCUAUUACAAGUUCUAAUCUUGGGAGUUUGAUCGCAGAAAAUCGGGUUCAAUGAGGUGAGUUUCACCAUUGAUCUGAAGAAAGGGGAGGUGAAGAAAGGUUAGAGUUUUUCCAAUUUUGCGGAAAUUGUUUUGGUUAACUAGUGAUGAGAUUAGGGGCUGAAAUAUUAUGGAAUAUGCAGGGGCGUAUGAAGAAGGAAAGGCGGAUGCGGUGUUUUCGUUCAAGGACGAUGAUUUCGUGAAGCUAGCGCUGGGGAAGAUGAAUCCCCAGAUUGCUUUCAUGAGAGGAGCCAUAAAGAUUAAGGGAAGCAUGAGUGCUGCUUACAAAUUCCCUUCCGACAUUUUCCCCAAGCCUUCCGAGAUGUGACUUGGCUUUGUUAUUAUAGCAAACUACGUAUGCCUCCUUUGAAAAGAUUCAAUACACAAAUAAUAGCAUCUUCAACAGCUUCCUUAAAAUUUUUUUAAAAUGAGGAAGUAAAAACUAAAAUCUCCAAAAAAAUUAUGAUUAAAGUCCAACAGCUUCUCCAUUUUAAAAAUUUUAGCAUUUAAUACAAUAAUAAAAUAUAAUAUAUCAUCAUUAAUUGUAACAAAAAAACAUUAUAUAUUUCAUUGUAACAAUAAACUACUAAAUAAAAUAUUUUAUUGUUGUCUUAAAUUCGUUGGAGCACGUGAAGAAUUUAAUUUUUAGAGAAGGAAGACUUUGCUGCAAAUUUGGGGAAUGAAUGUUUCUUUUUCUUCUUCAUUCCCAUUUUGGGGAAUGAGAUGGGGAAGCUGUUGGACCUAAAAACAGCUCUAUAUUCUCCAAAAUUGAGAAAUUCAAGAAAAUGGGGAAGCUGUUGGAGAUGCUCUAAGGACAUGAUCUUUGUUUUACAACUUAUAUGGACAAAAUCUUACAAUUAUUAGGACAAAAUCUUACAAAUAAGGACAAACUGUUUUUAUGUUGCAUGUGUUAAUAAGUCAUUUACAAUUUUAACCUUCACACAUGAAAAUUUAAAUAUUAUUAUUUAGAUUUUCAACAAAUGUAAUAACAAGUUUUUAGUAGCUCAGCUAGUGUAGUAGCAGCUAUUUCUAGGAAAUGCAGUAGCAGCUAUUUUCAAUAAAUGCAGUAGCAGAUUUUCAGUGCCUCAUCUGGUAUAGUAGCAACUACUUCCAGUUAAUGUAGUAGCAAACUAUUUCCAGUAAACACAAUACCAGACUUUUAGUGACUCAGCUAAUGUAGUAGCAAGUUUUUAGUGACUCAACUAAUGUAGUAGCAGUUAUUUCUAGUAAAUGCAGUAGCAGCUAUUUUCAAUAAAUGCAGUAGCAUAUUUUCAGUGGCUCAUCUAGUAUAGUAGCAACUACUUCCAGUUAAUAUAGUAGCAAACUAUUUCUAGUAAACACAGUAACAUGCUUUUAGUGACUCAGAUAAUGUAAUAGCAGCUAUUUUCAAAAAAUGCAGCAGCAGGUUUUUCGUGGCUCAACUAGUGCAGUAGCAACUAUUUCCAUAAAUGCAAUAAAAAAGUAUUUCCAUUAGGGUAGUAGCAGGCUUUUAGUGACCCAGCUAGUGUAGUAGCAGCAGCAGCAGCAAUUUAAAAAAAAAAUAACAAGUGUUUAGGUGUUGUUGAUAUCACUGCUACUGUUACGGCUAGAAUUGCAUCAACUACUGCUACUCCUCUUUACUUUCCAUUCUCAUUAAAUGUUCGUCCCCCAAAGCACAACACCACCAAACUACGGCCACCAGUAGCACCAUAAAGCUAAAUCUAAAUCCUCAUUAUCCAGAACAAACUAAUUUCUAACUGACCAACAAUGCCCAGCACUACCAACUAUGCUGGAAUUAAAUUUGCAAGAUUGAAUUACAGUAGUAAACAAAAAAAGAAAGGCAUCCUCAUCUUCCUGUUUCAAAUCUUCUUCCUCUCUUUGUUUCAAAUCCUCUAGCACCGAAUCAGGCCCGAUUUCACAUGCUUGAAUUGAAUUUAUCUCCCCUAAAGUAGAAUCCACAUUCAUCUCUCUUCUGUCCUAUAUCUCGUUGCCUUGAUCCAUCCCUAGAUUGCUCCGCCUCCCUCUCUUUCGCCUUCGCCGUGCCAGCGCUCGAGCCCGAUUGUAUCCGAGGGAUCCAUUAUCUCAGCAACGAGGCAAAUGACCAUUUGGUUGUUUUCGGGGUUCUCUGACGACAAGCUUGGCCGGGGCAAAGUCUCGUCGGGGGUUAGAGAGAGAGAGAGAGAGAGAGAGAGAGAGAGAGAGAGAGAGAGAGAGAGAGNNNNNNNNNNNNNNNNNNNNAUCUGAAAAUGGUGGAGAAAUGGUAUUUUGAGGAAGUGGCAGUUUUGUAGAUAUUUCAGAAAAUAAUAGUUUUUAGGUAUUUUACAUAAAAAAUUACUGACAGGACUAUGCACUGUGGGUUUGGGCUUAUGUCCUUAUUUGUUUAAAUUUGUUGAAAAGUGGUUUUUUUGUGUUUUGCAAGUAUCUAUGGUAGUGUGAUGUCAUUUUCUAUUGUUAUUUUCAGCUGCAUUAGGAAAGAAGAGGGCUUAUUUACUUGGCUCCGAUAAAUUUUUGAAAUACUAGUUUUUACUUGAAUGUUAUAGCUAGAAAUCGAUUAGAGCGAAGCACUAUAAUGUCUCAAUAAGCUGCCAAUUAGGACCCUGGGAAAUGCCUAUCACUGUGAUGGCUUACAAUCUGUAUUUGCUUUUCACUUCUUCACUUGAUUGCAAAUCUGUAUGUUCUUUUUUUUUAUGUUUAUUCAGCUUGCUGUUUCUGUUGCUUACUGCUAAUGAAAAAUGCUCUAUCAAUGUGAAUGAAAUUAAUCGUCAAGUCGUUUACCUACAAAUUUCUGUUGCUGGAUCGAUAAAGAUGAGAAGUAGGUCGUGGUAAAGACUCUUUGUCUAAUCCAGCUCUCCUUCAGUCCUUUAGAGCAAGUCCACAAGUGACAAAAAAAUCCAACCCAGGUUGGAUCCACAUAGACAAAGUGACACAGCCCAAAAAUACUUACUUCCACCUAUGAAAAUUUUGGCGCGAGUAUUAUUGUAACCCAGGUGAGUUUGGGUUAGAUUUUAUGUGAGUAUGUAACUCAACAAUCUAACCCAGGUUAAUUAACUCCUCAGCCGCCACAUCAGCAAAGGUGCCUAACUAUAUAUAUAUAUGUAUGAGCCAGUGCUCUUCACGCGAGCCACUGGCGAAUGAAAUAGUAGAGAGAAAAAGAGAAUGGCCCUGCCUGACGUCAGCCACGUUAGGCACCUUUGCUGAUGUGGCGGCUGAGGAGUUAAUUAACCUGGGUUAGAUUGUUGAGUUACAUAUGCCGCGUGAGGAGCACUGUUGAUGGAGAAGACAUACAAUGUAGCUGGGCCCCACCUAUAUUAUUAAAUGUAAAAAUGUAAAAAUAUCAAGUAAAACCAUUAAUUUAAAAAAAAAAAAAAGAUAUGUAAGAACAUUCAUAAAGACUGGUUUACCAUUUAUGUAAAUGUAAAUCAAUUGAAAAAAUAUAUAUUCUAUAAGAUGUAAACUAUAGGAAAAAUAUAUAACUGUUAUGAAAAAUUCCCUAACGUUUAUAAAUAAUUUCUUAUAUCCCUAACCAAUUUAGAUUGUGUAUUUUGUUUUAUUAUGUUUGUGUUUUCAUCCUUACAAAAUUUCAAAUAAUUGUAAACUUUUUUAGGCUUGGCUUGUCAAUUAAAUAUCAAGGAAUAAAAAAAUUUCAAUAAGUCAUAUUGUUUAUGUAAUUACUAUUUAUUUACAACUAAAAUAAUUAUUCACACUUAAAAAGGUUUUUUUUAAAUUCAAUAAACAGUCAUUGCUACGUGUUAGCAAUCUCAUAUUUCAAACGGAUGGAAACUGCUGUCUAAUCACAGUGACCUAGACCGACCCAAUCUAAUCUAACGAGUGAACUUAUUCUCGUGUCAUUUUCCGAACAUAGUAAAUUAUUCCAGUGACUACAUUAGGGUGGUCACUAUUUGUCUGAGCUAUUCCCCGUCUGGCUAAGUUGGUAGAGCGCAACGCUCUUAACCUUGUGGUCGUGGGUUCGAGCUCCACGGUGGGCACCAACGGUAAAGUCUGGUGCCGAACUGCAGAAUAUGAACUUGGCCUGUUCUAUUGGUUUCUCCACAAAGCCAAGCCUUGUCUACUUCCAUUCUCUUCUAAAUUCUCACAUCCAAACCAAAACCCCAAAACAAGCACUAGUUCUUUUUCUCAACUUGUUUGAGAACAACCUCAAACCCAAUGAUCUCACUUUGUCUUUGCUUCUAAAAGCUUGCACGUCUUCUUCCUCAUAUCUAGCUUCAGGAAAUGCCAAGCUAGAAGUAAAUCAGAUUCAUACCCACCUGUUAAAAUCGGGUUUCGACCGGUUUGUCUAACACAUUCAACUGGACACAGAUCAUCAUCUUCAUCAGACAAAUCUCCUUGACUUUCAUCAGCCACUCUGAUCUUCUUUAUAGCACGAAAGCCAUGGCUAAACUUUGAAACUUCCCAACCUGUAAGUCUGAUGCCAGGGCAUAAUCUAACAUGUGUUCUCUCAGGAAAUGAGACUGGAAUUUCAUAUGGAUUUUUUAAGAUCGGUUUUGAUCCAAAGUUAAAUGAGGCCUCGGCCUUGCUAUGAAGAACAUUCUGUCUAUGCAUGACACCAAAUGGCAAACCUCCAAAACAACAGCGCUUAAAACAAUGAUUCUCUCAGAAAAUAUCCUUUCAGAUCCUGGACAAUGCUUUGCCGGAUGAGCUAUUGAUCUUCUAUAUCUUUACUUUCUACUGGUGUACGUAGUGUGCACAAUUAACAGAAACAUUAGGGUCUAUUGUUACAAAAAUAAUAGUAAAAGUUCAAGCAGAAUCCAAAGUGAACCUAGUUUCUAUGAUUCAAUGAUUUGGGGAAGUCUGCAACUCUGCAUCUUUAGAGUAAUAACACAGAUGCCGUUUGAUCAUUCUAAAAGGUUGUUCACAUAGUUUGGAAACAUUUCAUGCAGCCAUAUAGAUACAACAUUCUCAUUUAUAAAUCAGGGAUGACUGUUUAAACUUCAAGAGGCAAUUUUGAAGACAUAUAUUCUGAAACCAAUGAGAGCAAGGAAAAAUCAUUGCCUGGAAACAAAACCAAACUAGUCUCAAAUUUUCUGUCUAUUUCUGGGUUUGUUGGAAUUAUCCCAGGUGGUAACUCCAUGGGUGUCGUUUAUCAUAAUUACUAGUUCAACAAGGACUAUUCCAUUAACAGCUAAACUUGAUCGAACCGAAGAAGCCUCAAUGUGAUUAACGAACAAAGUAAUGCCUAAACUACUGACAAUCAACGAUGGCAGACUCCAAAUGCAGAGACAUGAACUAAAAAGCUGAUUAAAACUUUGCUCACCUCAGGAAGUUGAGGAUUGUCUUUGCCAU